rnacentral:rRNA from 1 species
UGGGGAAUAUUGGACAAUGGGCGCAAGCCUGAUCCAGCAAUACCGCGUGUGUGAAGAAGGCCUGCGGGUUGUAAAGCACUUUCAAUUGUGAAGAAAAGCCUAGAGUUAAUAACUCUGGGUCUUGACGUUAACUUUAGAAGAAGCACCGGCUAACUCCGUG